CAUCCCCACCAUUCUAACGCUCGAACUGGGUCAACUCUGCGGGUAGAAGACUCAGACUCAGUCCUGUCGCUCCUGUCGGCCGGGCCGCAUCUCAGAAAAAUGACUUCGCCCACAACUUCACCGCAAAAGCCCACAGGGGCAUCCCCAGCAAGAUCGACUGGCGCCCCAAUGACAGUGGCCAAAUGGCAGUGGUCAGAGAGCACAAUGCCCAACACUGGGGCCGCCGGGUGGACUC